UCCGGGCUGGGAAUCUGCAGCCCCCGGGGUGAAAUGCACCGCCUUGUGACCUGGGCCAAGCUUGCUUCCACGUGUGCCUUCGAGCCAGACGUGGCUGUGGCGCGGCCGGACGUUUCUCCUCACCCUCCCCACCAGGUUGCAGGAAACACACACGCAAUCGUUUUACACACAGGACGGACGGUCAAGUGCGUGUGGUCCUCGUCAUCACCCAUAAGACCGUCUGCUGGCAUCAGGCAAGCAGGAUCACAACACCUCACUUUUCCAGUGAAAUAAUCCAUUCAUCAAGGAGAAAUUGAAUCGGAAAGAUGAAGAAAAUGAGGCAGCAAGGCACUGCUCCGAGUUUAAGAAAUGGAAGCUGAGUAGCCAGAUCAAGGAAAUGAGGCAGCAGUGAUUUGAGGCCUCUCACUGUUGUGGCCUCUCCUGUUGCGGAGCACAGGCUCCGGAAGCGCAGGCUCAGCGGCCAUGUCUCACGGGCCCAGCCGCUCCGCGGCAUGUGGGAUCUUCCGGACCGGGGCAUGAACCCGUGUCCCCUGCAUCGGCAGGCGGACUCUCAACC